GCGUAACGCGUGGGAAUCUGCCCUUGGGUUCGGAAUAACUUCGGGAAACUGCAGCUAAUACCGGAUGAUGACGUAAGUCCAAAGAUUUAUCGCCCAGGGAUGAGCCCGCGUAGGAUUAGCUAGUUGGUGGGGUAAAGGCCUACCAAGGCGACGAUCCUUAGCUGGUCUGAGAGGAUGAUCAGCCACACUGGGACUGAGACACGGCCCAGACUCCUACGGGAGGCAGCAGUAGGGAAUAUUGGACAAUGGGCGAAAGCCUGAUCCAGCAAUGCCGCGUGAGUGAUGAAGGCCUUAGGGUUGU
rnacentral:rRNA from 1 species